AUGAUAGGUUGGUUGCUUUUCAUUAUAAGUCUUAUGGGACUUUUUUGAUACUCAAAAAGCCCUAUAAUUCCAGAGCGGUUUUACCCACUAUAAAAAUUAUAGAGCC
rnacentral:ncRNA from 2 species